UCCGUAGGUGACCCUGGGAAAGGAUCAUAG
rnacentral:rRNA from 1 species